rnacentral:rRNA from 1 species
CCUACGGGAGGCAGCAGUGGGGAAUAUUGGGCAAUGGGCGAGAGCCUGACCCAGCAACGCCGCGUGAAGGAAGAAGGCUUUCGGGUUGUAAACUUCUUUUGACCGGGAAGAGCAGAAGACGGUACCUGUCGAAUAAGCCACGGCUAACUACGUGCCAGCAGCCGCGGUAAUACGUAGGGGGCAAGCGUUGUCCGGAUUUACUGGGUGUAAAGGGGGCGCAGACGGCGAUGCAAGCCAGGAGUGAAAGCCCGGGGCCCAACCCCGGGACUGCUCUUGGAACUGCGUGGCUGGAGGGCAGGAGGAGCAGGCGGAAGUCCUGGUGUAGCGGUGAAAUGCGUAGAUAUCAGGAGGAACACCGGGUGCGAAGGCGGCCUGCUGGACUGCAACUGACGUUGAGGCCCGAAAGCGUGGGGAGCAAACAGGAUUAGAUACCCGAGUAGUC